GAUUAACGCUGGCGGCGUGCAUAACAUAUGCAAGUCGAACGAUGAAACUUAGUAGACUUCUUCGGAAAGACAUUAAGCGGAUUAGUGGCGAACGGGUGGGUAACGCGUGAGUAACCUGCCUUACACAAGGGGAUAGCCUUUGGAAACGAAGAAUAAUACCCUAUAAAACCAUAAAAGCACAUGCUAGAAUGGUCAAAGUGAUAGCGGUGUAAGAUGGACUUGCGUCUGAUUAGCUAGUUGGUGAGAUAAAAGCUCACCAAGGCAACGAUCAGUAGCCGGCUUGAGAGAGUGUACGGCCACAUUGGGACUGAGACACGGCCCAGACUCCUACGGGAGGCAGCAGUGGGGAAUUUUGCACAAUGGGGGAAACCCUGAUGCAGCGACGCCGCGUGAUUUAGAAGGCCUUCGGGUUGUAAAAAUCUUUUGUAUAGGAAGAAAAUGACAGUACUAUACGAAUAAGGUCCGGCUAAUUACGUG
rnacentral:rRNA from 1 species